UACGUAGGGGGCAAGCGUUGUCCGGAAUCAUUGGGCGUAAAGCGCGUGUAGGCGGCUUGGUAAGUCCGCUCUGAAAGCCCGGGGCUCAACCCCGGGAGGCGGGUGGAUACUGUCAAGCUCGAGUCCGGAAGAGGCGAGUGGAAUUCCCGGUGUAGCGGUGAAAUGCGCAGAUAUCGGGAAGAACACCCGUGGCGAAGGCGGCUCUCUGGGACGGUACUGACGCUGAGACGCGAAAGCGUGGGGAGCGAACAGG
rnacentral:rRNA from 1 species